GGCCAGCAGCCGCGGUAAUACGUAGGUGGCGAGCGUUGUCCGGAUUUACUGGGCGUAAAGGAUGCGUAGGCGGAUAUUUAAGUGAGAUGUGAAAUACCCGAGCUUAACUUGGGUGCUGCAUUUCAAACUGGAUAUCUAGAGUGUGGGAGAGGAGAAUGGAAUUCCUAGUGUAGCGGUGAAAUGCGUAGAGAUUAGGAAGAACACCAGUGGCGAAGGCGAUUCUCUGGACCAUAACUGACGCUGAGGCAUGAAAGCGUGGGUAGCAAACAGGAUUAGAUACCCUGGUAGUCCACGCCGUAAACGAUGAGUACUAGGUGUAGGGGGGUCCAACCUUCUGUGCCGCAGUUAACACAAUAAGUACUCCGCCUGGGAAGUACGAUCGCAAGAUUAAAACUCAAAGGAAUUGACGGGGGCCCGCACAAGG
rnacentral:rRNA from 1 species